UACAGAGGGUGCGAGCGUUAAUCGGAAUUACUGGGCGUAAAGCGCACGUAGGCGGAUAUUUAAGUCGAUUGUGAAAGCCCCGGGCUUAACCUGGGAACUGCAGUCGAUACUGAAUAUCUAGAGUAUGGUAGAGGAAAGUGGAAUUCCCGGUGUAGCGGUGAAAUGCGUAGAUAUCGGGAGGAGCACCAGUGGCGAAGGCGGCUUUCUGGACCAAUACUGACGCUGAGGUGCGAAAGCGUGGGGAGCAAACAGG
rnacentral:rRNA from 1 species